AAUGGGUCAGCGACUUAUAUUCUGUAGCAAGGUUAACCGAAUAGGGGAGCCGAAGGGAAACCGAGUCUUAACUGGGCGUUAAGUUGCAGGGUAUAGACCCGAAACCCGGUGAUCUAGCCAUGGGCAGGUUGAAGGUUGGGUAACACUAACUGGAGGACCGAACCGACUAAUGUUGAAAAAUUAGCGGAUGACUUGUGGCUGGGGGUGAAAGGCCAAUCAAACCGGGAGAUAGCUGGUUCUCCCCGAAAGCUAUUUAGGUAGCGCCUCGUGAAUUCAUCUCCGGGGGUAGAGCACUGUUUCGGCAAGGGGGUCAUCCCGACUUACCAACCCGAUGCAAACUGCGAAUACCGGAGAAUGUUAUCACGGGAGACACACGGCGGGUGCUAACGUCCGUCGUGAAGAGGGAAACAACCCAGACCGCCAGCUAAGGUCCCAAAGUCAUGGUUAAGUGGGAAACGAUGUGGGAAGGCCCAGACAGCCAGGAUGUUGGCUUAGAAGCAGCCAUCAUUUAAAGAAAGCGUAAUAGCUCACUGGUCGAGUCGGCCUGCGCGGAAGAUGUAACGGGGCUAAACCAUGCACCGAAGCUGCGGCAGCGACACUGUGUGUUGUUGGGUAGGGGAGCGUUCUGUAAGCCUGUGAAGGUGUGCUGUGAGGCAUGCUGGAGGUAUCAGAAGUGCGAAUGCUGACAUAAGUAACGAUAAAGCGGGUGAAAAGCCCGCUCGCCGGAAGACCAAGGGUUCCUGUCCAACGUUAAUCGGGGCAGGGUGAGUCGACCCCUAAGGCGAGGCCGAAAGGCGUAGUCGAUGGGAAACAGGUUAAUAUUCCUGUACUUGGUGUUACUGCGAAGGGGGGACGGAGAAGGCUAUGUUGGCCGGGCGACGGUUGUCCCGGUUUAAGCGUGUAGGCUGGUUUUCCAGGCAAAUCCGGAAAAUCAAGGCUGAGGCGUGAUGACGAGGCACUACGGUGCUGAAGCAACAAAUGCCCUGCUUCCAGGAAAAGCCUCUAAGCAUCAGGUAACAUCAAAUCGUACCCCAAACCGACACAGGUGGUCAGGUAGAGAAUACCAAGGCGCUUGAGAGAACUCGGGUGAAGGAACUAGGCAAAAUGGUGCCGUAACUUCGGGAGAAGGCACGCUGAUAUGUAGGUGAAGCGACUUGCUCGUGGAGCUGAAAUCAGUCGAAGAUACCAGCUGGCUGCAACUGUUUAUUAAAAACACAGCACUGUGCAAACACGAAAGUGGACGUAUACGGUGUGACGCCUGCCCGGUGCCGGAAGGUUAAUUGAUGGGGUCAGCGCAAGCGAAGCUCUUGAUCGAAGCCCCGGUAAACGGCGGCCGUAACUAUAACGGUCCUAAGGUAGCGAAAUUCCUUGUCGGGUAAGUUCCGACCUGCACGAAUGGCGUAAUGAUGGCCAGGCUGUCUCCACCCGAGACUCAGUGAAAUUGAACUCGCUGUGAAGAUGCAGUGUACCCGCGGCAAGACGGAAAGACCCCGUGAACCUUUACUAUAGCUUGACACUGAACAUUGAGCCUUGAUGUGUAGGAUAGGUGGGAGGCUUAGAAGUGUGGACGCCAGUCUGCAUGGAGCCGACCUUGAAAUACCACCCUUUAAUGUUUGAUGUUCUAACGUUGACCCGUAAUCCGGGUUGCGGACAGUGUCUGGUGGGUAGUUUGACUGGGGCGGUCUCCUCCUAAAGAGUAACGGAGGAGCACGAAGGUUGGCUAAUCCUGGUCGGACAUCAGGAGGUUAGUGCAAUGGCAUAAGCCAGCUUGACUGCGAGCGUGACGGCGCGAGCAGGUGCGAAAGCAGGUCAUAGUGAUCCGGUGGUUCUGAAUGGAAGGGCCAUCGCUCAACGGAUAAAAGGUACUCCGGGGAUAACAGGCUGAUACCGCCCAAGAGUUCAUAUCGACGGCGGUGUUUGGCACCUCGAUGUCGGCUCAUCACAUCCUGGGGCUGAAGUAGGUCCCAAGGGUAUGGCUGUUCGCCAUUUAAAGUGGUACGCGAGCUGGGUUUAGAACGUCGUGAGACAGUUCGGUCCCUAUCUGCCGUGGGCGCUGGAGAACUGAGGGGGGCUGCUCCUAGUACGAGAGGACCGGAGUGGACGCAUCACUGGUGUUCG
rnacentral:rRNA from 1 species